GUUUUCCAGCUACUGGAAGAAGCAGGCUCCUGAAACUGCAAUUCAGGGAGGUUAUGUGCAGUCAACCUCGACACCCAGUAAGAGAACAGCAGCUAAAAUGUGGCAUCGAUUAUCUCCAACUGAACCUGUGUCUGAGGGGGAAGAUUUUCUAAUGGCUGGUGUUGAGGCGCUGAUGACCUAGAUUUGGAUCCUUUUGAAGAAAGUUUCAAAUCCAUGGAUCUAGCUACGGAUGCAGUCCAAAUUGAUGAGGACCAAGCAAACAACUUACUCAACAGUGUGUGAGUUGCAAUGUCUUCUUAUCUAGGGGUGGGCAAU